rnacentral:rRNA from 1 species
GACGAACGCUGGCGGCGUGCUUAACACAUGCAAGUCGAACGGAAAGGCCCUGCUUUUGUGGGGUGCUCGAGUGGCGAACGGGUGAGUAACACGUGAGUAACCUGCCCUUGACUUUGGGAUAACUUCAGGAAACUGGGGCUAAUACCGGAUAGGAGCUCCUGCUGCAUGGUGGGGGUUGGAAAGUUUCGGCGGUUGGGGAUGGACUCGCGGCUUAUCAGCUUGUUGGUGGGGUAGUGGCUUACCAAGGCUUUGACGGGUAGCCGGCCUGAGAGGGUGACCGGCCGCAUUGGGACUGAGAUACGGACCAGACGCCGACGGGAGGCAGCAGUGGGGAAUGUUGCACAAUGGGCGGAAGCCUGAUGCAGCAACGCCGCGUGCGGGAUGACGGGCUUCGGGUUGUAAAACGCUUUCGCCUGUGACGAAGCGUGAGUGACGGUAAUGGGUAAAGAAGCACCGGCUCACUACGUG